AGAGUUUGAUCCUGGCUCAGAACGUACGCUGGCGGCACGCCUAACACAUGCAAGUCGAACGAAGUAGCAAUACUUAGUGGCAGACGGGUGAGUAACAUGUAGGUAUCUGCCCUUUGGCCUGGAAUAACACGAGGAAACUUGUGCUAAUACCGGAUAAGUCUUUACGGAGAAAGCUUUAUGCACCAUUGGAUGAGCCUGCACUUGAUUAGUUUGUUGGUGGGGUAAUGGCCUACCAAGACUGUGAUCAAUAGCUGAUUUGAGAGGAUGAUCAGCCACAUUGGGACUGAGACACGGCCCAAACUCCUACGGGAGGCAGCAGUGGGGAAUCUUGCACAAUGGAGGAAACUCUGAUGCAGCGAUGCCGCGUGAGUGAAGAAGGCCCUUGGGUUGUAAAGCUCUUUCGUCGGGGAAGAAAAUGACUGUACCCGAAUAAGAAGGUCCGGCUAACUUCGUGCCAGCAGCCGCGGUAAUACGAAGGGACCUAGCGUAGUUCGGAAUUACUGGGCUUAAAGAGUUCGUAGGUGGUUGAAAAAGUUAGUGGUGAAAUCCCAGAGCUUAACUCUGGAACUGCCAUUAAAACUUUUCAGCUAGAGUAUGAUAGAGGAAAGUAGAAUUUCUAGUGUAGAGGUGAAAUUCGUAGAUAUUAGAAAGAAUACCAAUUGCGAAGGCAACUUUCUGGAUCAUUACUGACACUGAGGAACGAAAGCAUGGGUAGCGAAGAGGAUUAGAUACCCUCGUAGUCCAUGCCGUAAACGAUGUGUGUUAGACGUUGGAAAUUUAUUUUCAGUGUCGCAGGAAACCGAUAAACACACCGCCUGGGGAGUACGACCGCAAGGUUAAAACUCAAAUGAAUUGACGGGGACCCGCACAAGUAGUGGAGCAUGUGGUUUAAUUCGAAGAUACGCGCAGAACCUUACCAACACUUGACAUGUUCGUCGCGACUCUAAGAGAUUAGAGUUUUCGGUUCGGCCGGACGAAACACAGGUGCUGCAUGGCUGUCGUCAGCUCGUGUCGUGAGAUGUUGGGUUAAGUCCCGCAACGAGCGCAACCCUCACUUUUAGUUGCCAUCAUUAAGUUGGGCACUCUGAAAGAACUGCCAGUGAUAAGCUGGAGGAAGGUGGGGAUGACGUCAAGUCCUCAUGGCCCUUACGUGUUGGGCUACACACGUGCUACAAUGGCAUCUACAACAGGAAGCAAAACGGCAACGUUAAGCAAAUCCCGAAAAGAUGCCUCAGUUCGGAUUGCACUCUGCAACUCGAGUGCAUGAAGCUGGAAUCGCUAGUAAUCGUGGAUCAGCGUGCCACGGUGAAUACGUUCCCGGGUCUUGUACACACCGCCCGUCACACCAUGGAAAUUGGAUUUACCUUAAGGCAAAUUAUGAACCCUCGGGACAUGUUUGACCACGGUAAGUUUGGUAACUGGGGUGAAGUCGUAACAAGGUAACC
rnacentral:rRNA from 1 species